UACGGAGGAUGCGAGCGUUAUCCGGAUUUAUUGGGUUUAAAGGGUGCGUAGGCGGGCUAUUAAGUCAGUGGUGAAAUCCUGCAGCUUAACUGCAGAACUGCCGUUGAUACUGAUAGUCUUGAGUUUGGUUAAGGUAGGCGGAAUGUGUAAUGUAGCGGUGAAAUGCUUAGAUAUUACACAGAACACCAAUUGCGUAGGCAGCUUACUGAGCCGACACUGACGCUGAGGCACGAAAGCGUGGGGAUCAAACAGGAUUAGA
rnacentral:rRNA from 1 species